rnacentral:lncRNA from 1 species
GAAAAUCAGCGAGCUGGAAAUCAACGCUGGUCGCCCGGGCGACGGACCCAACGCCCGUGCAACGGACGCUCGUAGCUCAGGCAUCCAAAACUAGCGCCCAAGCCUCACAGAAUCCUUGAUUCACGCAUGGGCGAGCUCCCUGCGACACUUGAGCGUGAUUUCACGUGGAUCAGACCCUGAUUCUGCUCUGAUUUGAUUCUUUUGGAUCGGGC